rnacentral:lncRNA from 1 species
GUGAAUGUAUAGAGAAACCACGGGAACGUUUCCGCUGGGCACCAGCCAGCUGGAAUCCAGCUGGAUUGACAUUUUGAGAGGAACUAAAUUACCACUUCUCUGCCUUUUUUCUUGAUUGAAUCCACUUCGAUGAUAGAUUCGGUUUUAAGGUGCUUUCCUAAUUACCUCAUUCUUGACCACUCCUCACGGUUUCAACUAUCAUCACUAAAGUCACUAAGAAACAAACAUUUCACUCGGAAGGAUUUUAUGUUCGAAAAUGAUUUAAAUAAAACCUUUUAAAUAAAAGGA